GAUGAACGCUGGCGGCGUGCCUAAUACAUGCAAGUCGAACGAAAAUACUAUAAGCUCGCGCGCUUGCCGUUAGCGAUAGACGGUUGAGUGACGAAUGGAUCAGCAACUCAUAAGACUGGGACAACAACGGGGGGCAUGAGACACUACCACAGAAUAUAAUAAACCGUAAGCAUAAUUAGUGCAUGGCAACUUUGUCGACGGUUACAGUAGUAUCCGCGUCGGAUUAGCUAGUUGGUAAGGUAAAGGCUUACCAAGGCGACGAUGCGUAGCUGACCUGAGAGGAUGAUCGGCCACACUGGAACUGAGACACGGUCCAGACUCCUACGGGAGGCAGCAGUAGGGAAUCUUCCACAAUGGGCGAAAGCCUGAUGGAGCAACGCCGCGUGGGUGAAGAAGGUCUUCGGAUCGUAAAACCCUGUUGUUAGGGAAGAAAAACAGUGGGAGUAACUAUGCACGUUUUGACGGUACCUAACCAGAAAGCCACGGCUAACUACGUG
rnacentral:rRNA from 1 species